GUUGUCUCCAUGGACCAGACCCAGUGAGGACAGCAGAUGGCGGGUGAAUUCCUGAGUGGCUGCAGCUGCUCACUCCUUCAGGAUGACCACAACUUCAAAUUCUUCCUGUUCCAGCUGAGCACGUGACAUCUCCCAGAAAGGGCUCUUCUCAUUGAUCUCGUGGGAGAUGAUGAGCGGGGACACCAGGAAGAGACGGUCGUCACCAGUGUCAAAGCCCACAUUAAUGUCGGUCUGGUUCAAGGGGAUGAAUUCCCCUUCUUUGGUCUGCCGGGAUUUGAUAAGCUUGGCACGGAUGGAGGCCUCCACGAUGUGGGAGUUUCGGAGGUCCCCCACCCGGAACAUGAGGCACAGCUUCUCAUCCCGCAUGGAGAUGACGGCAUUGUUGGAAAACAUGAGGGUCUCCGCUCUCUUCUUUGGCUGGCUGAUCUUCACAAACAUGCAACCCACCAUGAAGGCAUUGACAAUAGAGCCCAGAAUGGCCUGCACCAGAAGGAGUAUGAUCCCCUCCGGGCACUUCUCCGUGAUGACUCUGAAGCCAUACCCAAUGGUUGUUUCUGUCUCGAUGGAGAACAGGAAAGCAGACACAAAGCCGCUGAGGUUUUCAACACAAGGAAUCCACUCUUGGUCACCCACAUGGUCCAGAUCACCUCGGACGUAAGCGAUGAGCCACCAAAUGAAGCCAAAGAACAGCCAUGUGACAGUGUAGACCAUGGUGAAGACCAGGAGGUUGAAGCGCCAUUUGAGGUCCACCAGAGUGGUGAAGAGGUCACUUAGGUAGCGAUAGGUUUCCUGAACAUUGCCAUGGUGCACAUUGCAUUUGCCGCUCUUCUCCAUGUAGCGCUGACGUGGCUUCUUGCCUUCUGCCAGCAGGCGUGUGCGGUCUGUGGCAAUAGGGAUGUAAUCCCGUGCCUGCUUGGGAAUCUUCUUGUGGUCCUGGGAAGUGACUCCUAUCUCCAUGUCUUUGUUCAUAGCAUUCCUAGAGUCACCAGCCAUAGCUGAGAUAUAAUGAAUUAAAAUGACACCAUCAUUAGUGAAGUGCCCUGUUAGGAUGAGUAGACCUGGAACAGGGUGCUACUCCCUUCUGGGGGCUCUCAAGGGUGUCUCUUCUAGUAUACAUUGGCCCAGACCAUUAAAUUCUCAAGGGCUGGGACCAGGUACUCCUACAGCAUUUCUUUGUAUCUUUGGUGGCACUGAAGAGUCUACUAUGUGGCACAUGCUUGGUUUGUCGAAUGAAUAAAACUGGGGGUCAAUUGCACAUGAAGUGUUUAAAGGUAUUUGGAGAAAUAUGAGAGAAAUUUGAAUAAUAAUUGCCACAGUUUAUUAAAUGCCUAUUAUGUUUCAUGGAUUAACACAAUAGUGACUGCAAUUCCCAUUAUAUAGUGUGUAUAGAGUGCAUUUCUUUCUUUUAAAAAAUAUUUUGCUUUUAAAAGUAUGUGUGCGUGUUUUGCCUGUGUGUAUAUACGUACCAUGUGCAUUCCUGGUGCCUAUAGAGCCAGAGAAGGCAUCAGAUCCCUUGGGAAUGGAGUUACAGACAGUUGUGAGCUGCCAUGUGGGUGGUGUAACUGAGCCAAGGCCCCCGGCAAGAGCAGAAAGUCCUCUUAACCACUGAGCAAUUUCUCUGCCCCCUCUCUUAUGGGUUUCUAAUAUUUUGUUAGGAUACAAGGUCCUCAAGUGCAGGGGUUUGUGUUUAUUUAUUCCUUGCUAUACUCCAAACACAAAAACAGGAUAGCUCGGCUGACACACACUGGUUCAAAGGCACUGCUGCACGAAGACUGGAAAGACAAAUAAGAAAGCAGAAGAGGCUAUGAAGGCUGAUGUUGGAGUUCCUGUCCUCCUGGUCCCAAGCCUAUGGGCUCUAAAGGCCUCUGCCUCCUUUCUUCUUUUUCCUUGGGGAUCCUUAGCAGCUGAUAGAAAGGACAAGCCAGCCUAUGUCUGUUUCACUGAGUGGCCGCUCCUCCUGUCUGAAUGGGGACUCUGGCUGUCUGAGCACUUAUUACAAUGACAAACCAUUGUGUAGAUGCACCCUUGAAAUAUCUGAUCUAGUUAGCCCUGAGAAAUUGAGAUGGAUGGAAUGUUUGUGGCCCGAGGCUUUCAAAAGGACUGCUUUUAGAGGGCAAGCCACACUUCAAAGAGACGUGGACACCUGCAAUAUUCCAUCCCUUGCCGUCCUGCUAGUCUGCUCUAGCUCAUUGAAAAUGCUUCGAGACUCUGAUGAAGAUAGGAGACUGUGACCUCCCCCCCCACCCCGGAUUGCUGAGAACAGCUCACUCGGGUGGAAGUUGAGCUGAGAAAUGCUCCUCCAUUUGCUUGUUAUCACAAGUGAUGAGGUGGUUAUAUAUAAUCUGUCGAUUUUUCUUUUGUUGUUGGUAAACUUUUUGUUUGCUUAUUCUUUGUUUUUGAGAUAGUCUCUGGUUGGUAGGGAAGCUACUAUGUAGCCCAGGCUAGCCUUAAACCCUGGUCUUCCUGUUGGGGCUGUGUCUGGCGUUGCUGGGGUAUGCUGCUGUGUUGGGCUAAUCUUUCCAUCUUUCAGUUAAGGAAAUAAUGCUUGGAGCAGCAUGUGGUCAAUUUUGGUUUGGAAUCGGAUUUUUUUCUUGCUGUACCCCAGAUGCUUAACCCUGACAACAGGAUAUUCUAUGGCUCCAGCCUUGGGUAACAGAUUGCUACUGACACAAUUUUCUUUGAGCUCUCACCCUGGCAUACACCUUAGGGCUUUCUUCAUAAAUAAGCUUUCCUGGGUUUCACAAGAAUACUCUUUCCCGGUGCAUAAUUUUCCUAGGUUUCUAUUUUCUUUGUUGCACUGACUGAGAAACAAAGUGUCUUAACCACUCUGUGGUCCAGUCUAGUAAAUUUGUUCUCUUGCAGGCUUAAAUCCAAGCACACACUCUGGAUUGUUCACCCUGGGGUUUUGUAUGUCUCUCUUCGGAAUCCAGUUGGGGGCAGUUCCUUGUGGGAAGUCCCCUAACACUAGUUUGGGGACUUUAUGAAACUCCUGGGAAACAUUCUGGUGAGUGUUCUAAAAAUGGUCAGGUGGCCAAUUAGAAAGUAGCAGGCUUGGUGGACAUGAGGACUGGAGUCUUUCUUUAUAAUCGACAUCCUGGGAAGCCCAGGACAGAGGAGAGGGACCUGAGUCAAAUCUGGUUCUUCGAUGGGACAUCCUGAACUGCCUAAGGACAUUCGUUUAUAACUAUUUAAAGCUGGUUCCAGGUCAGCAGCAUGCAUUCCACACAUACUAAUGCCAACUCUGUGUCAGUCAAAUUGGCCAUCAAUCAUCUGGACAGGAAAACACCCCUUGGGAAAGCUGUUGUCCUAAUUAGCUUCAGUGGUCUACUUGACACAAUCUCUCAAUUCAGAGACUGCCUACAUCAGACUGGCUUGUGUCCAUGUCUGUGAGAGAUUGUCUUGACUGAUGACUGAUACAGCAGAGCAGAGCCCACUGUGAGAGGCGCUGUCCCUAGGCAGGUGGGUCUGAGCUGUGUAAGAAAGCUAGAGGGACAUGAGCCAGGGAGCAAGUCAGAGAGUGCGCUAGCAAUCAAGUUCCUGCCCCUGGUUAUUCCUGCCCUGACUUCCCUCAAUGAUGGAAGUUACAAGCCAAAUGAACCCUUUCCUCUCACAAGUUGCUUUUGGUCAGGGUAUUUUAUCCAAGCAAAGGAGAUGAAACCGGAACAGCUAUCUGUUUCGGGGCCACUAGAAAUAGUGUGGUCUAUCUAAAAUGCAAACUGACACAAGGUUCUCUUUGCUCAUUGCUCGUUCUCACCCCUUGGGGGUUUCCCAUGUUACUCUGAAAUAAACUCCGUCUUCUAACUAUA